rnacentral:snRNA from 1 species
GGACGUGAGGGCAAUCUGGCUGCAACAUCUGUCACCCCAUUGAUUACCAGGGUUGAUUUGGCUGAUCUGGCUGGCUAGGCGAUGUCCCUUUCCUCCCUCACCACUCCAUGUGCCUCCCUCCCAAAGCUAUGCACUCAGUCGAAGACUGCCUUCCCCAAAAAAAGACAGACUGUCUUCUGUCGAUGGUAUACAAGUGACUAUGCUUCCCUGCUAGAACCUCCAAACAAGCUCUCAAAAUUACAAGACAAAAGGGUAUAACUCCACACCAUUCCCACAACCAGAAUUCU